rnacentral:rRNA from 1 species
UCCAGAGGUGGCCCGCGUUGUUCGGAAUUACUGGGCGUAAAGGGCGCGUAGGCGGCCUUCUAAGUCAGACGUGAAAUCCCCCGGCUUAACCUGGGAACUGCGUCUGAUACUGGAAGGCUUGAGUGCGGGAGAGGGAUGUGGAAUUCCAGGUGUAGCGGUGAAAUGCGUAGAUAUCUGGAGGAACACCGGUGGCGAAGGCGGCAUCCUGGACCGGUAUUGACGCUGAGGAGCGAAAGCCAGGGGAGCAAACGGG